AUUGUAUAGGUUUAAAACGUACAGAUGACAAACUCUAACCUACAAACUCUAGCCUUAACUACGCUUCUUUACAAAUAAGAAUUCUAUAUCGACUCAAUUCGUGCACAUCCAGGCAAGACAUCGCCCCUGAUCUCAUCCUUCAUCACAUACAUGCAAUAAUUAGUCCUCUCGCCAGCAAUAAGAAGCAGACAGGUUGUGUGGCAGUACUUGCAGGUAAUGUUCAUUAUCUCCUUCCACAAAUAAUACAUGCAUGUCUCCUUGCAAUGAUUAAUAUAUGCAUUAACUCUCCGAUCUCAUUACACAUGCUUUGUAUUAACUUGAAUUACAGAGAGAAAGCGCCGAUAAACUUGGGAUUCAGAUCACUAAUUACAGAGCGUGCACAUCACGGCAAGACAUUGCCGUCCUCUCGCAAGCAGCAAGGAGCAGACAGGUUGUGUGGCAGUACUUGCAGCCAAUGUUCAUUAUCUCCUUCCACAAAUAAUAUAUGCAUGUCUCCUGCAAUGAUUAAUAUAUACAUCAACUCUCCGUUCUCAUUACACAUGCUUUGUAUUAACUUGAAUUACACAGAGAAAGUGGCGAUAAACUUGAGAUUCAGAUCACCAAUUACAGAGCAUAUAUGUCCUCUCAUUGGAAGGUGACAACACAAGUAUCCUUCUUUCACAAUAGAAUAAUGAUUUUAGACGAUUUAAAAGCCUUUGUUGGAAAACAAUCCAUACGAAAAAGAAUCUUAUCAGGAAACUAUCUGUUCCAUACAAAUACCUUCAGCAUCCUUGCAAACAAUGUGGUCCCUGACAUGUUUACAUUAAAUUUAUCAUCAGCAAUUCUGAAUUUCUGAACAAAUAAAAUCAGUUACGUAUAAGAUGCCCUCACUUAUAUCUCAGAAUAAAAUCAGUUACACUUUUUACCUCAUUUAUUUCAGGAUUCACUAGCCGCAGUCAACAUGCGUCGAACACGCACUAGAGCAAAUCAAAACA
rnacentral:lncRNA from 1 species